UUGAAAUUGAGAAAGCAUGCCGGCUGAAAGUGGCAGAAGGAGGCGGAGCAAUCCAAAUCCGGUCUUUUGAUCCGACCACCGAGAAAAGCGUUGUAGCCCUUUCCAUGGCCGCCCGUACCGCAAACCGACACAGGUGGGUGGGUAGAAUAUACCAAGGCGAAAGAGUGAAACCUCGUUAAGGAACUCUGCAAUCUAGUCCCGUAACUUCGGAAGAAGGGAUGCCCUCCUCGAAGGGUCGCAGUGAAAGGGGACAACCGAUUGUUUAUCAAAAACACAGCAUUGUGCCAAGACGAAAGUCCAAGUAUACGAUGUGACACGUGACCAAUGCGGAAAGAUUAAGGCAAGGGGUUAGCCGCAAGGCGAAGCUCUGAACCUAAGUCCCCGUGAAUGUCGGCCGUAACAAUAACGGUCCUAAGGUAGCGAAAUUCCUUGUCGGGUAAGUUCCGACCUGCACGAAUCGUGUAACGAGUUGUCCGCUGUCUCAACGAGGGGCUCAGUGAAAUUGUAUUAGCAGUGUAGAUGCUGCUUACCCGCAGAAGGACGGAAAGACCCUAUGCACCUUAACUGUAAGCUGUCACUGGUCGUUUGGUUUCCAUGCUUAGCGUAAGUGGAAGACUUUGAAGCGUAACUUUCGGGUUACGCAGAGUCGUCAAUGAAACACCACCCUUGGGUAUUGAACGAUCUAACCGCAGUCCAUGAAUCUGGAUGUGGGACCAUGUCAGCCGGUCAGUUUUACUGGGGCGGUAUCCUCCCAAAGAGUAACGGAGGAGCGCGAAGGUUGGCUCAGCGUGGUUGGUAAUCACGUGUUGAGUGCAUUGGCAUAAGCCAGCCUAACUGUGAGACCUACAAGUCGAACAGAUGCGAAAGCAGGCCAAAGUGAUCCGGUGGUUUAAUGUGGAAUUGCCAUCGCUUAACGGACAAAAGGUACGCUAGGGAUAACAGGCUGAUUUCAUCCAAGAGUUCAUAUCGACGAUGAAGUUUGGCACCUCGAUGUCGGCUCGUCGCAUCCUGGGGCUGGAGAAGGUCCCAAGGGUCCGGCUGUUCGCCGGUUAAAGCGGCACGCGAGCUGGGUUCAGAACGUCGCGAGACAGUUCGGUCCUCUAUCCUCUGUGGGCGCAGGAAAGUUGAGGGGUUCAAUUCCUAGUACGAGAGGACCGGAAUUGACGCACCUCUGGUGUUCCAGUUGUUCUGUCAAGAGCAUCGCUGGGCAGCUAUGUGCGGAAGGGAUAAGCGCUGAAAGCAUCUAAGUGCCAAGCCCAUCCCAAGAUAAGCUUUCCCUGAAGGAUCGUGGAAGACUACCACGUUGAUAGGCCACGGGUGCAAGCGCAGUAAUGCGUUCAGCUUAGUGGUACUAAUCAUCCGUUAA
rnacentral:rRNA from 1 species